rnacentral:rRNA from 1 species
AAAGGAAUAGACGGGGGCCCGCACAAGCAGCGGAGCAUGUGGUUUAAUUCGAAGCAACGCGAAGAACCUUACCAGGGCUUGACAUCCCUUGAAGUGCAUAGAAAUAUGUACGUCCUUCGGGACAAGGAGACAGGUGGUGCAUGGUUGUCGUCAGCUCGUGUCGUGAGAUGUUGGGUUAAGUCCCGCAACGAGCGCAACCCUUAUGGUUAGUUGCCAGCACGAAAGGUGGGAACUCUAAUCAGACUGCCGGGGAUAACUCGGAGGAAGGUGGGGACGACGUCAAAUCAUCAUGCCCCUUAUGUCCUGGGCUACACACGUGCUACAAUGGCCGGUACAGAGAGCAGCGAAGCCGCGAGGUGAAGCGAAUCUCACAAAACCGGUCCCAGUUCGGAUCGUGGGCUGCAACCCGCCCACGUGAAGCCGGAGUUGCUAGUAAUCGCGAAUCAGCAUGUCGCGGUGAAUGCGUUCCCGGGCCUUGUACACACCGCCCGU